AUGGCUGUCGUCAGCUCGUGUCGUGAGAUGUUGGGUUAAGUCCCGCAACGAGCGCAACCCUUAUCCUAUGUUGCCAGCGGGUUAUGCCGGGAACUCGUAGGAGACUGCCGGGGUCAACUCGGAGGAAGGUGGGGAUGACGUCAAGUCAUCAUGCCCCUUAUAUCCAGGGCUGCAAACAUGCUACAAUGGCCGGUACAACGGGCUGCAACACUGCGAAGUGAAGCGAAUCCCUUAAAGCCGGUCUCAGUUCGGAUUGGAGUCUGCAACUCGACUCCAUGAAGUCGGAGUCGCUAGUAAUCCCGGAUCAGCAACGCCGGGGUGAAUACGUUCCCGGGCCUUGUACACACCGCCCGUCACACCACGAAAGUCGGUAACACCCGAAGCCAGUGGCCCAACCCUUGGGAGGGAGCUGUCGAAGGUGGGAUUGGCGAUUGGGGUGAAGUCGUAACAAGGUAGCCGUACCGGAAGGUGCGGCUGGAUCACCUCCUUUCUAAGGAGUUCCACCCAUUGAUCGUUUAGCUAAUUGGCCAUUCGGCUAUUUGGACAAUCGGUCGUUCAAAUGGGAAGAACACCCAGUUGAUGCACUGGCUACUCGUCUUCGAGUUUCGCAUUGUUGGUCGAUGAUCUUCGGGGCACCUGACAGUGCAGGCGAGAGGCCGUCGUUCUCUCUUCCGUUUCCAGGGAGCGCCCUUUGCGCGUUCGUACGCAAGAUCGCCCUUUGAGAAUUGCAUAGCGAGCACGAGCAUCUUUGUUCUUCCAAGCUACAAAGAGCCAACGGUGGAUGCCUUGGCGUCUACUACCGAUGAAGGACGUGGUUAGCUGCGAAAAGCCACGGGGAGCCGCUUAACAGGCUUUGAUCCGUGGAUGUCCGAAUGGGGAAACCCGG
rnacentral:sRNA from 1 species